GUGGGGAAUAUUGGACAAUGGGCGCAAGCCUGAUCCAGCAAUGCCGCGUGAGUGAUGAAGGCCUUAGGGUUGUAAAGCUCUUUUACCCGGGAUGAUAAUGACAGUACCGGGAGAAUAAGCUCCGGCUAACUCCGUGCCAGCAGCCGCGGUAAUACGGAGGGAGCUAGCGUUGUUCGGAAUUACUGGGCGUAAAGCGCACGUAGGCGGCUUUGUAAGUUAGAGGUGAAAGCCUGGAGCUCAACUCCAGAAUUGCCUUUAAGACUGCAUCGCUUGAAUCCAAGAGAGGUGAGUGGAAUUCCGAGUGUAGAGGUGAAAUUCGUAGAUAUUCGGAAGAACACCAGUGGCGAAGGCGGCUCACUGGACUGGUAUUGACGCUGAGGUGCGAAAGCGUGGGGAGCAAAC
rnacentral:rRNA from 1 species